rnacentral:rRNA from 1 species
UACGUAGGGUGCAAGCGUUAAUCGGAAUUACUGGGCGUAAAGCGUGCGCAGGCGGUUAUGUAAGACAGUUGUGAAAUCCCCGGGCUCAACCUGGGAACUGCAUCUGUGACUGCAUAGCUAGAGUACGGUAGAGGGGGAUGGAAUUCCGCGUGUAGCAGUGAAAUGCGUAGAGAUCAUGAGGAAGACCAGUGGCGAAGGCGGGUCUCUGGACAGUUCCUGACACUGAGGCACGAAGGCCAGGGGAGCAAACGGG